rnacentral:rRNA from 1 species
GACGGGGCCCGGCACAAGCGGAGGAGCAUGUGGUUUAAUUCGAUGAUACGCGAGGAACCUUACCUGGGCUCGAACGUAAGAUGACUGUAGGUGAAAGCUUACAUCUCUUCGGAGCAUUUUACGAGGUGCUGCAUGGUUGUCGUCAGCUCGUGUCGUGAGAUGUUGGGUUAAGUCCGUAACGAGCGCAACCCUUGUCCUUAGUUACCAGCACGUUAUGGUGGGCACUCUAAGGAGACUGCCGGUGACAAACCGGAGGAAGGUGGGGAUGACGUCAAGUCAUCAUGGCCCUUACGGCCUGGGCUACACACGUGCUACAAUGGUCGGUACAAAGGGUUGCCAAGCCGCGAGGUGGAGCUAAUCCCAUAAAACCGAUCGUAGUCCGGAUCGCAGUCUGCAACUCGACUGCGUGAAGUCGGAAUCGCUAGUAAUCGUGAAUCAGAAUGUCACGGUGAAUACGUUCCCGGGCCUU